rnacentral:tmRNA from 1 species
GGGGGCGACCGGCUUCGACGCAGGUCGCGAAGCCUUCGGUGCAUGCAGAGCUGCGAUUUGCUCUUAAAACUGGUCGCAGAUUCAUAAUUGCCAACGACAGCAAUUACGCCCUCGCUGCUUAAGCAGUGAGCCCUCUGCCCGGGUUUGUUCGUGGACCCGGAGCCGAAAGGCAUGCGGAGGGUCAUGAAACACGGAAUCGCGCUGGAUCUGGUCGGUGGGUCCAGUUCUAAAACAAAGCCGAAUCGCUGGGAGCGCAUCCUGUUUGUCGGAGUCGCUCCGGGUUAAAACCCAAUAGACAAACUACGCAUGUAGAUCCGGUGGUCUAGGUCUUGCGGACGCGGGUUCAAUUCCCGCCGCCUCCACCA